GAAAUGCGAUAAGUAAUGUGAAUUGCAGAAUUCAGUGAAUCAUCGAAUCUUUGAACGCACAUUGCGCCCCUUGGUAUUCCGGGGGGCAUGCCUGUUCGAGCGUCAUUUCAACCCUCAAGCUUAGCUUGGUAUUGAGUCUAUGUCAGUAAUGGCAGGCUCUAAAAUCAGUGGCGGCGCCGCUGGGUCCUGAACGUAGUAAUAUCUCUCGUUACAGGUUCUCGGUGUGCUUCUGCCAAAACCCAAAUUUUUCUAUGGUUGACCUCGGAUCAGGUAGGGAUACCCGCUGAACUUAA
rnacentral:misc_RNA from 1 species